UGUAAUGAUGAUUCAAUAGACUAGAGUCUCUGACUACUUCAUGAUGCUCUUCACAGUGCACUGAACA